GACCUGCGGAGGGAUCAUUACCG
rnacentral:rRNA from 1 species